rnacentral:rRNA from 1 species
CAAUAGCGUAUAUUUAAGUUGUUGCAGUUAAAAAGCUCGUAGUUGGAUUUCGGGUGGGACGCAGCGGUCUCGCAUUGCGUUUGUACUGCUGCAGCCCUCCUUCUUGCCGGGGGCGGCCUCUCGGACUUCACUGUCUGGGGGUCAGAAUCGGCGAUGUUACUUUGAGUAAAUUAGAGUGUUAAAAGCAAGCUUACGCUCUGAAUAUAAUAGCAUGGGAUAACACGACAGGACUCUGGCCUAUCGUGUUGGUCUAUAGGACCAGAGUAAUGAUUAAGAGGGACAGUCGGGGGCAUUCGUAUUCCGUUGUCAGAGGUGAAAUUCUUGGAUUUACGGAAGACGAACAUCUGCGAAAGCAUUUGCCAAGGAUGUUUNCAUUGA